AGAGUUUGAUCCUGGCUCAGGGUGAACGCUGGCGGCAUGUUUAAGGCAUGCAAGUCGAAUGUCUGUUUACAGGCAUGGCAAACGGGAGAGUAACACGUUGGUAAUCUACCUCUAUCUCGGGGAUAACCCGGAGAAAUCUGGAAUAAUACCCGAUAGACAUGGGGGGACAUAAGUCAUUCCCAUGUAAAGAUUUAUCGGAUAGAGAGGAGCCUACGGCACAUCAGCUUGUUGGUGAGGUAAGAGCUCACCAAGGCAACGACGUGUAGCGGGUGUGAGAGCAUGACCCGUCUCACUGGGACUGAGAUACUGCCCAGACUCCUACGGGAGGCUGCAGUCGAGAAUCUUCCUCAAUGGGCGAAAGCCUGAAGGAGCAAUGCCGCGUGGUUGAUGAAGCUCUUCGGAGUGUAAAAACCUUUAUCAGGG
rnacentral:rRNA from 1 species